UACAGGGGGGGCAAGCGUUGUUCGGAAUUACUGGGCGUAAAGGGCCAGUAGGCGGCCGACUAAGUCCGACGUGAAAUCCCCAGGCUUAACCUGGGAACUGCGUCGGAUACUGGUUGGCUUGAGUUCGGGAGAGGGAAGCGGAAUUCCGGGUGUAGCGGUGAAAUGCGUAGAUAUCCGGAGGAACACCGGUGGCGAAGGCGGCUUCCUGGACCGACACUGACGCUGAGGCGCGAAAGCUAGGGGAGCAAACGGG
rnacentral:rRNA from 1 species